UUUCUUGUAACUCCAUAGACCUGGGUGUCUUGGAUCUGAAUAAAAUUACAUGACCAUUCAACUCUCCAGAGGAACUUGAGAAUCAUUCUUUUCUUGAGCUGAAGUGGGAUAUUUUGGAAUUUUGAGAGUUAAG
rfam:Sorex araneus cont1.028796, whole genome shotgun sequence.